GACGAACGCUGGCGGCGUGCUUAACACAUGCAAGUCGAACGGUGAAGGGACCGGUCUUUGCUGGUUCUGGUUGAGUGGCGAACGGGUGAGUAACAUGUGAGUAACCUGCCCCCUUCUUCUGUAUAACCGCAUGAAAGUGUGUCUAAUACGGUAUAUUCUUCGCCUGCUUCAUUGUAGGUUUGGGGAAGAUAUUGUUGCGGUUGGGGGUUGGCUCGCGGCUUAUCAGCUUGUUGGGUGGGUGAUGGCCUACCAAGGCGGUGAAUGGUAGACCGCCUUGGAGGGUGGGCGGCCAUACAACGGAUGCAAGACGGACAAGACUCCUGGGGGAGGCAGCAGGGGGGACUCUUGAACGAUGGGCGGACGGAUGAUGCAGCGCCGCCGGGUGAGGGAUGGAGGCCUUCGGGUUGUAAACCUCUUUCGCCAGUGAAGCAAGCCUGUAGCUUGUGUGGGUGGGUUGACGGUAGCUGGAUAAGAAGCGACGGCUAACUACGUG
rnacentral:rRNA from 1 species